GGGGUUGUAGCUCAGUGGUAGAGCGCUCACCUAGCAUGUGUGAGGCCCUGGGUUGGAUCCUCAGCACCACA
rnacentral:tRNA from 1 species